rnacentral:lncRNA from 1 species
AGUAGGCCUCGGUUGCCAUAGCGACUACUGAGACCGCCUGUUGUCAGCGUUGUGCCUCGUCUCGCUGGCUCAGUGAUUAUCUCCAUCUCAGCAGCCCUCGCCAUACGGUCUGGGCUAUAAUCAAAUCCCCCCUGUUCAUCCCCUCCGGAGAGCCGCACACCAACAUCUCUGCCUCCCUCAUGCCCCCAUGAUCAGAAUGCAUAUACAUAGAGCAAGCAUUCAUUAGGAGACAUUGCUAAGGGCCUCUCUUGAGUUUCCAUUUGCAGUUGAAAGGGGCGGGAAGCAAACUGUAGAAGAUAAAGCCCAUGCAUUUAGCCCCGCUUUAACUUCUCGUUUCGUCCAGUUUUGAUCCAACAGAAUCAAAGUACAUGAAAAUUGUUUUGCUAGGUCUGUCAGGAUCUCUAAUUCUGCCUUCUGUUUCCACCACAAGAUAGCUGGGUGCCUCUGGUUGCUCAUGGCCAUGGUAGAAAAACGAUGGUCUAUUCAUGUUGUUUGCCCUUAGCAUCUGGUAUACAAAGGUAAACUACAUCUUUACACAGAGGUUUUGUUUCCUAGCUUUAAAAUCAAUACUUCAUAGAAUGUCCAGCACUCAGUUUACUGCUGGUAUGGCCUUUAGGGGUGGCCACCUAAUGCAUCAACACUCCCCUCCCUUAAAAAAUAGGGCAAAAGCAGCACCUAUUUGCAUAUGCUAAUUCACAUGUAUUGAUGCAAAUUUAGAAAUAAUUGCUAUAAUUAUACUCUAUUGAUUGGCAACUUUGAGGCCCUUGCUCUCCAUUCCUAGUUCUUACAUCAGAUAGACCUUCAACCAGAGGACUCAUGGAAAUGGGGAAGAGUUCUCUGAUGUCCCUUGAAAUAGAGGACUGUGCUGUGUUAAGUAGGGUACAUGGCCACCCCCAACCAUGGAGGUUCAGCAUAAAUGUAAUUUGGCCCUCAACUCAGAGCCAAUUGUGGGGAGGCCAGGACUGGAGGGCCAUUUGGCCUGGACCUCAAGCUCCAACGGGCUCACAAAUAUAGGCACUUUGGGCAUUUAAUAAGUUUUGCAACUGUCAGACCCUCCAAGUGUUCCUAUUUUCCAGGAACAGCCCCGGAUUUACAGAAGACAUCCCAGUUUCUGAUUUGAUCCAGAAUGUCCCGCUUUUCUUUAGGAUGUCUCUGUUUUCGUCAGAGAAAUAUUGGAGGGUAUGAACUGUUUCUAUGCAUAUCAGACCAAAACAUAGCACACACUCUCAGCUUAGAGCUGCAAAUUUAAGAGAAUAAGAGAUGUGGUUUGGUAGCAGACAUAAUUCUCUUUUUGGGGGGACGGGACUGAUAGAGAUUUUAUCAUAUUAAAGUGUCCAAAAUGUUCAUUAAUGUUCAUAAAAAUAUAUUCAUUCUGAAGACACAAGAUUAGACCAUGAUGAACGCAUCCUCACAGAUCAGCUGCUUAUGUAAACAAACAGCUGGCUCUUUUUCUGGUGCCUUGUUUUGUUUUUGUAUGUAGCCAUGUGUCAGGGAACUGACAUCGGAGCUAGAGGCGGAGGGAAGGCUCUCAAAUGAUGCUGGAGAAGGGCCCAGCAGGGAGAGAGGCAGCUCAGCAGAUGGGGAAGCAAUUCAGCGCAACACCAGGAAUAAAGAGGGGCAGAUGGGGGAAUCGGCGAGAGGGCUCCCAGACUCUUCACCGGACACCAGCGGGGAGAGCACGGGUCCUCCGCUACCCAUGCCCUCCCUGCGCAGAAGACUUCCGCGCAGAGAGUAGGAGGAGACUGGGUGUCAAACAACUUUUAUGUUGGAAAAGGUUUAAGAAACGCCCACUGACGGAUUCUGCUAGUGACUGAGGCAGCCAUGAAGUGAAGGGCUGUCCAGACUGAAAGGUUUAACAAGGCAACAAAGCCAGGAGAGGCGGCAACUUACGCACGAGCAACCCAUACUCUUUACACCAUGUUUAUUUUUUUAUCGUGGCUACGGGCUCUAAAGUGGCCUAGUCCGCUCUGGACCUCUGAUACGGCCUGCCUUAGAUAAAUGGAGACAAACACUGCAGAAUUACUACAAGCGAUGCCUGAGUUCUAGACAACUUGGAAGAAACAUCCUUCCAUCCUGGUGUUGCUUAUUAACUGCUGCUGGAAAUUACAGACCCUCCAUGUAUCCCUAUUUUCCAGGGAUAGUCCCGGAUUUACAGAAGCUGUCCCAGUUUCUGAUUUGAUCCCUUAAUGUCCCGCCUUUCCUUAGGACAUAUCUAUUUUCAUUGGAGAAAUGCUGGAGGGUAUGGAGUUAUGCAACCCUUGAGCCAAGGAGACAAGUAACUAAACAACCUUUAGAAGACAUCUGAAGGCAACCCUUUAUAGGGAAGUUGUUUAAUGUUUAAUGCUUUCUUAUGUUUUUAUAUGUGUUGGAAGUUGCCCAGAGUGGCUGGGGUAACCCAGUCAGGUGGGUGGGGUAUGAGUAAUAAUAAUAAUAAUAAUAAUAAUAAUGGCUUUUUUCAGCUGGAACUCACUAGAACUCCGUUCCGGCAUCUCAGGUGGGUGCCAUUGCCAUUAUAAGAGAACAAGGGAGGCAUUCAUGGUAAGUUCUAACACCUCUUUUUCUCGAAAAAUAGCACUAAUAAGAAUAAGAAUAAUGGAAUAGGAUGUGCCUAUUUUCAUUGGAGAAAUGUUUGAGGGUAUGAAAUUAAUCAGAUUCCUGAAUACAGUAAAAGGCUUUCCCUUCAUUGUUAUUCUCAGGUCCUAAGAUACCCUUCUCUGAGAACACAUUCUGUUACCCCAAGGUGGCAUAUAGAAUGAAGCCAGGCCGGGCACAGGAAGCUGCUAUAUUAUGUUUUAAGGGGCCUGUCAACAUGAUGUCCCUAUCCAUGACAGAAGGAGUAGCCGCACCAAGGCCCCCUUUGGUCUCCCACGGACCUGAUGGGCCUUUUGUACAGCCUUUCCAGAGUCCAUUGACUGUAGCUCUGUCUUUGUCAGCUUGUCAGACAGAGGUCGAGGAAAGAGUGAAGGACUUGCUCUCAGGGCACAACAGGAUAAGAUGCAAGGAUGAGACGCACAUAUUGGGUUACAGUGCUGGCAGCAGAAAGGUUCAGCAAUGCAGAGAUUGCCCUCGGGUUUCUGGCCCCUGCUCCUCUACUGGCUUUGUUCUUCGCAUGCUUUUUAUAUGGGAAGUCUC